CUACAACCAAACUCUCUUUCCAAGUAUUGCAAAAUCGUGGCUUUCGAUUUCAAUUUUCUCACCAUUUCGUUAGUCCCAUCAUACAAAUCUAUAAUAUUUGGUUAAUAAUGUUUUUUUCUCCACAAAAUAUACAUUUCUUCAAUUAUUUGCCACAGUUUUGCUGAAUUAGUUACCGUCAGAAACAUGGAAAAAGUUAUUUCGCUGACCUCAGAAUGACAUUUCGUCAAAAAAUUUUCUUCAAGAUUGGUUUAGAAACAAACUUGAAGUAGGGUUAGGUUAGGCUUAGGGUAAGGCUUAGAGUUAGGGGUUAGAGUUGGUGUUUGGAAUAGGGUUAGUGUUAGUAAAACCGUUGCUUGGUUACGUUUUGUCACUCUGAGGCCAGCGAAAUAACCUCUUCCCAGAAACAUCCUCUGGUAAAUCCGCCAUAUUGUUUAACCCGCAAUGCAUCAUGGUCUAUGCUCACCAAAAAAUUUAUUGCAAAAAUGAUUUUCAACAAAAAUUUUGAAAGAAAAACAAACAAAAAAAUAAAAAGUUGAAACACAAAAAUAAAAAGUUGAAAGACAAAAAUAAAAAGUUGAAACACUAAAAUAAAAAGUUGAAACACAAAAAUAAAAAGUUGAAACACAAAAAUAAAAAGUUGAAACACAAAAAUAAAAAGUUGGAACACAAAAAUAAAAAGUUGAAACACAAAAAUAAAAAGUUGAAACACAAAAAUAAAAAGUUGAAACACAAAAAUAAAAAGUUGAAACACAAAAAUAAAAAGUUGAAACAAAAAUAAAAAGUUGAAACACAAAUAUAAAAAGUUGAAACACUAAAAUAAAAAGUUGAAACACUAAAAUAAAAAGUUGAAGCACUAAAAUGAAAAGUUGAUCUGAGCCUCCUGGGCUUCCAUAG